rnacentral:rRNA from 1 species
GCACAAGCGGUGGAGCAUGUGGUUUAAUUCGAAGCAACGCGAAGAACCUUACCAAAUCUUGACAUCCUUUGACAACUCUAGAGAUAGAGCUUCCCCCUUCGGGGGACAAAGUGACAGGUGGUGCAUGGUUGUCGUCAGCUCGUGUCGUGAGAUGUUGGGUUAAGUCCCGCAACGAGCGCAACCCUUAAGCUUAGUUGCCAUCAUUAAGUUGGGCACUCUAAGUUGACUGCCGGUGACAAACCGGAGGAAGGUGGGGAUGACGUCAAAUCAUCAUGCCCCUUAUGAUUUGGGCUACACACGUGCUACAAUGGACGAUACAAAGGGCAGCGAAACCGCGAGGUCAAGCAAAUUCCAUAAAGUUGUUCUCAGUUCGGAUUGUAGUCUGCAACUCGACUACAUGAAGCUGGAAUCGCUAGUAAUCGUAGAUCAGCAUGCUACGGUGAAUACGUUCCCGGGC